rnacentral:rRNA from 1 species
CGUUGAUUACGUCCCUGCCCUUUGUACACACCGCCCGUCGCUACUACCGAUUGAAUGGUUAUAGUGAGCAUAUGGGAUCAGUAGGAUUAGACUGGCAACAGUCUUUCCCUGCAGAGAACUAUGGCAAACUAGGCUAUUUAGAGGAAGUAAAAGUCGUAACAAGG